UGGGGAAUAUUGCACAAUGGGCGCAAGCCUGAUGCAGCCAUGCCGCGUGUAUGAAUAAGGCCUUCGGGUUGUAAAGUACUUUCAGUCGGGAGGAAGGUGGUAAGGUUAAUAACCUUAUCAAUUGACGUUACCGACAGAAGAAGCACCGGCUAACUCCGUGCCAGCAGCCGCGGUAAUACGGAGGGUGCAAGCGUUAAUCGGAAUUACUGGGCGUAAAGCGCACGCAGGCGGUUGAUUGAGUCAGAUGUGAAAUCCCCGGGCUUAACCCGGGAAUUGCAUCUGAGACUGGUCAGCUAGAGUCUUGUAGAGGGGGGUAGAAUUCCAUGUGUAGCGGUGAAAUGCGUAGAGAUGUGGAGGAAUACCGGUGGCGAAGGCGGCCCCCUGGACAAAGACUGACGCUCAGGUGCGAAAGCGUGGGGAGCAAACAGG
rnacentral:rRNA from 1 species